GACGAACGCUGGCGGCGUGCUUAACACAUGCAAGUCGAACGGUAAGGCCCUUCGGGGUACACGAGUGGCGAACGGGUGAGUAACACGUGGGUGAUCUGCCCUGCACUUCGGGCUAAGCCUGGGAAACUGGGUCUAAUACCGGAGAGGACCACUGCCUGCAUGGGCGGGGGUGGAAAGCUUUUGCGGUGUGGGAUGGGACCGCGGCCUAUCAGCUUGUUGGUGGGGUGAUGGCCUACCAAGGUGACGACGGGUAGCCGGCCUGAGAGGGUGACCGGCCACACUGGGACUGAGAUAUGGCCCAGACUCCUACGGGAGGCAGCAGUGGGGAAUAUUGCACAAUGGGCGCAAGCCUGAUGCAGCGACGCCGCGUGAGGGAUGACGGCCUUCGGGUUGUAAACCUCUUUCAGCACCGACGAAGCGCAAGUGACGGUAGGUGCAGAAGAAGGACCGGCCAACUACGUGCCAGCCGCCGCCGUAA
rnacentral:rRNA from 1 species